CACAGCACAGCUUUCAAUGUAUGUAAGCAUCAGCAACAGAUUUAUAGAUGGUAUAUAAGGGCCCUUCAUCCAAAAUUUUAGCACAACUUGCUUGACCAGAUCAACUGACAGUAAAACGGAACUGAAAAUGGGAAAGGUAAGAUUAUCUCACAAAUGUAUUAUUUAUGUUCCAACAGAAUAAAGAUUAGAAACAACGGUUAAAUUAUCUGUUAACAUUUGAACCAACAGUUAAUAUUUUGAAGACAUGCUGGUUAAACUUAAUGACAGGGUUGGAACACGACGUAUGGUUUCAACAGAAUGUAUAAGGAUUUAGCGGUCAUUAACCACUUUACACCAUGUUAGAGGUAACAGGAGCCUUUAGCCACAACUCAUUGACUGGCUUUCAGUAUAAAUUUGCAGUCAGGAACUUCUCGUUAGCAGUAGCGACAGGCAUCAUAAAAAGUAGUGAUAAGUCAAUAAAACAUAGUGACAAAGUUGUAAACAAACCCAUAGAGUUUUUUUAAAUUGAAGAACUGGUGAGCAGAUGUGUGUGUAUAACGAGUUUAAAAUGUAGGUAAAAUAGCUUAAAAAUGUCUUACUUCAGCCAUUAGAUAGCUAAUAUAAUGCUGCUGCAAUGGGUGGGGAUGGUAGGAGCAUGGCCAUGAUGAGGGAUUUCUGUCAUCCAAUUUGUACUACUGGUAUACCCUGAGGUGGCUCAGUCCCUGCCAAACCCUGUCUGUCUCUUCAUAUUUGCCAAAGGACACACGAAUGGUAAUAUAUGCAUGUAUUACAAACCAGGACCAUAAUAUAUUACUUUAUAUAAGUAUACAGUAAUCAAAUUAGCAUUACUUUAUAUUUGUCUCCUUUAUUAAAACCAUUUUCACAGCUUUAGUAAUUGUACAAUUUAUACAUUUGUGUAUUUUAUGAGCCCUUGUUAUGUUUGAUACAUCAUUAUCAACUAAAUAAAAAUGUAUACAUUUAAAAGUAUAAAAUAUUCUAAUGCACAAUUCAAUUUAUAGAUUGUCUUCUACGAGGAUCGUAACUUUCAGGGACGAUCUUAUGAGUGUAGCUCUGAGUGUCCAGACUUGACCUCAUAUUUUCAUCGCUGCAAUUCCAUCCGAGUGGAAAGUGGAAACUGGAUAUUAUAUGAGCACCCAAACUACAGAGGACACCAGUAUUACCUUAGCAGGGGAGCAUAUCCUAAUUUUCAGCAAUGGAUGGGUUUUAAUGAUUCCAUCAGAUCCUGCCGUGUUAGCCCACAGGUAAAUAGAUUUACCAGAAAAGUUAAGCAUUUUUUUUUACAAACGUAUUGUUUCUCUCCAAAAAAAGCAUUCUUGGUUGGUAUUAAUAAUUAAUAAAGGUUUCAGGUUUGAAAAUAUAACCUUAUUUUUUUAAAUAACAUUGUUAAAUAUCUUUUUACAUUUUUUUUAUUAUAUUAUUAUAUACAUUUUAUGUAUUAUAUUGUUAAGUGACUAAGCCAGCAUUAGCUUUCAUGGGAAUAGGUGGGUCAAUGUCAAAAUUAUGCUCACAGUAUAGGUUCUUGAUAUUCACAUUAAAUUAUGCUAUUUUUUUAAUUCUAUUUAUAAAAUAUAUAUAUAUAUUUUAAAUCUCAUAAAGCACCACGGAUCAUUCAAGGUAAAGGUCUAUGAGAGGGAUGACUUCAGAGGUCAAAUGAUGGAGUUCACUGAAGAUUGUCCUAAUACUCAUGAAAGAUUCCGUUACCAUGACAUCAACUCCUGCCAGGUGCUUGAUGGCUACUGGAUGUUCUAUGAGGAGCCCAACUACAGGGGCCGCCAGUAUUACCUGAGACCUGGAGAGUACAGAAGAUAUACUGACUGGGGUGCCAUGAGCCCAAGAAUUGGCUCAUUUAGGAGAGUCCAUCAUUUCUAAUAUGUUAUCUUAAUUUAUGAAUUCAAUAAAUGUAUCAAACAUUCAUCAUCAUUAAUGUUAUCAUAUUUACUUACCUUUUUUAGCAACAAGAUUCUCUGGGUGCUGUAUCAAAUAUUUAUAACAAUGAUAAUAUCUUCCAAUUCAUCAUUUGGUACAGUUUUGAAUGUUUGAGAGGCAAUAUGCCAAUCAUGGAGAGUGAUAGAACAUCCACAUCUUCUUCUGGGAAAGCUGGAGGAUCAAAG